rnacentral:rRNA from 1 species
ACAGCAGUCGCCGCGGUAAUACGGAGGAUCCAAGCGUUAUCCGGAAUCAUUGGGUUUAAAGGGUCCGUAGGCGGUCUUGUAAGUCAGUGGUGAAAGCCCAUCGCUCAACGGUGGAACGGCCAUUGAUACUGCAGGACUUGAAUUAUUGGGAAGUAACUAGAAUAUGUAGUGUAGCGGUGAAAUGCUUAGAGAUUACAUGGAAUACCAAUUGCGAAGGCAGGUUACUACCAAUUGAUUGACGCUGAUGGACGAAAGCGUGGGUAGCGAACAGGAUUAGAUACCCGAGUAGUCCCUGUCUCUUAUAC